UAGGUAACCUGCCUUGUAGCGGGGGAUAACUAUUGGAAACGAUAGCUAAUACCGCAUAACAAUGGAUGACACAUGUCAUUUAUUUGAAAGGGGCAAUUGCUCCACUACAAGAUGGACCUGCGUUGUAUUAGCUAGUAGGUGAGGUAAUGGCUCACCUAGGCGACGAUACAUAGCCGACCUGAGAGGGUGAUCGGCCACACUGGGACUGAGACACGGCCCAGACUCCUACGGGAGGCAGCAGUAGGGAAUCUUCGGCAAUGGGGGCAACCCUGACCGAGCAACGCCGCGUGAGUGAAGAAGGUUUUCGGAUCGUAAAGCUCUGUUGUAAGUCAAGAACGGGUGUGAGAGUGGAAAGUUCACACUGUGACGGUAGCUUACCAGAAAGGGACGGCUAACUACGUGCCAGCAGCCGCGGUAAUACGUAGGUCCCGAGCGUUGUCCGGAUUUAUUGGGCGUAAAGCGAGCGCAGGCGGUUUGAUAAGUCUGAAGUUAAAGGCUGUGGCUCAACCAUAGUUCGCUUUGGAAACUGUCAAACUUGAGUGCAGAAGGGGAGAGUGGAAUUCCAUGUGUAGCGGUGAAAUGCGUAGAUAUAUGGAGGAACACC
rnacentral:rRNA from 1 species